AAUAAUUUUAAUUAACUACAGUAAAAUGAGAAAGGCCAUAUACAUAUGCAUGCUUUAAAAAUAUAAAUGAAAAUGUAUAUACUUUUAAAUGAACCUAAAAGAGACAAGUACUCACUCAUCUAAAAUAUUUAGAAGAAUAAAAAUGAACAUCUGUACAGAUUUUUUAGCAGUCAUUCACAGGUUGAAUCAUUAAAGACAGGAGGAAAAACUGAACAGAGCAACUCCAUUGAAGUUUCAGCUUUUGUCUCUCUUUUCCAGGUACGUUUUUUUUCCCUCUGUAGCAAUAUCCAGCUCUUCUAUGAGGUUCCAGUGGCUUCUAUGACAGAGACAUCUCCAGCAAUGAAAGGUUUACUUUGGACUCUUUCCAGUUUUACCUCAACCAAUUUCAGUGGUACCUUAGAAAUCCAUGUGUUCUCUAUGUAUUAAUGGAAUCUGAUGGGGAAAAAAAUAUCUCAUCAAAUUGCACUAGUAAGGAGGACAAUUUUGAAAGCUACACCUUACUUUUCCUCUUACAAUCCUCUUCAGUGAGAUUUGAUUCAGAGCAACUGUUUACAAAGUAAGAAGUGAGAUUAUAUCAUAUUACAUUGAUUAGAAAUUCACUGUUAAAAUGAAACUUGCUCUUGGAAAAAAGCACCCAGCAUUUGUUUCUCUGCAUUGAAAGAAUCAGGA